AUUGAACGCUGGCGGCAGGCCUAACACAUGCAAGUCGAGCGGAGCGGCGGACGGGUGCGUAAUGCCUAGGAAUCUGCCUGGUAGUGGUGGAUAACGUCCGGUAACGGGCGCUAAUACCGCAUACUAUCAGAUUAGCCUAGGUCGGAUUAGCUAUGUGGGGGGGUAAAGGCCUACAAAGUCGACGACUCGUAACUGGUCUGAGAGGAUGAUCAGUCACACUUGAACUGAGACACGGCCCAGACUCCUACGGGAGGCAGCAGUGGGGAAUAUUGGACAAUGGGCGAAAGCCUGAUCCAGCCAUGCCGCGUGGGUGAAGAAGGUCUUCGGAUUGUAAAGCACUUUAAGUUGGGAGGCGUUACCAACAGAAUAAGCACCGGCUAACUUCGUGCCAGCAGCCGCGGUAAUAC
rnacentral:rRNA from 1 species